ensembl:snRNA U6 U6 spliceosomal RNA
UUGCUUUGGCAUCACAUAUACUAAAAUUGGAACUAUAUAAGUUAGUAUGGCCCCUAUGUAAGGACAACACAAACUUGUGAAGUGUUCCAUACUUAA